rnacentral:rRNA from 2 species
GCAAGUCGAGCGGUAGAGAGGUGCUUGCACCUCUUGAGAGCGGCGGACGGGUGAGUAAUGCCUAGGAAUCUGCCUGGUAGUGGGGGAUAACGUUCGGAAACGGACGCUAAUACCGCAUACGUCCUACGGGAGAAAGCAGGGGACCUUCGGGCCUUGCGCUAUCAGAUGAGCCUAGGUCGGAUUAGCUAGUUGGUGGGGUAAUGGCUCACCAAGGCGACGAUCCGUAACUGGUCUGAGAGGAUGAUCAGUCACACUGGAACUGAGACACGGUCCAGACUCCUACGGGAGGCAGCAGUGGGGAAUAUUGGACAAUGGGCGAAAGCCUGAUCCAGCCAUGCCGCGUGUGUGAAGAAGGUCUUCGGAUUGUAAAGCACUUUAAGUUGGGAGGAAGGGCAGUUACCUAAUACGUGAUUGUCUUGACGUUACCGACAGAAUAAGCACCGGCUAACUCUGUGCCAGCAGCCGCGGUAAUACAGAGGGUGCAAGCGUUAAUCGGAAUUACUGGGCGUAAAGCGCGCGUAGGUGGUUUGUUAAGUUGGAUGUGAAAUCCCCGGGCUCAACCUGGGAACUGCAUUCAAAACUGUCAAGCUAGAGUAUGGUAG